rnacentral:pre_miRNA from 1 species
CGUAUUAACACUGAGGUUGAUGUUCGAUUUGUGAUACCAUCAGCCUCGCUGUCAAUACGGC